UACGUAGGGUGCGAGCGUUAAUCGGAAUACUGGGCGUAAAGCGUGCGCAGGCGGUUAUGUAAGACAGUUGUGAAAUCCCCGGGCUCAACCUGGGAAUGCAUUCGUGUGACUGCAUAGCUAGAGUACGGUAGAGGGGGAUGGAAUUCCGCGUGUAGCAGUGAAAUGCGUAGAUAUGCGGAGGAACACCGAUGGCGAAGGCAAUCCCCUGGACCUGUACUGACGCUCAUGCACGAAAGCGUGGGGAGCAAACAGG
rnacentral:rRNA from 1 species